rnacentral:rRNA from 1 species
UACGUAGGGUCCGAGCGUUGUCCGGAAUUACUGGGCGUAAAGAGCUCGUAGGUGGUUUGUCGCGUUGUUUCGUGAAAACUCACAGCUCAACUGUGGGCGUGCGGGCGAUACGGGCAGACUUGAGUACUGCAGGGGAGACUGGAAUUCCUGGUGUAGCGGUGGAAAUGCGCAGAUAUCAGGAGGAACACCAGUGGCGAAAGCGGCUUUCUGGUCCUUAAACUGACACUGAUGCGCGAAAGCAUAGGGGAGCGGAACGG